rnacentral:rRNA from 1 species
CUCCUUUGACGUUAGCGGCGGACGGGUGAGUAACACGUGGGUAACCUACCUAUAAGACUGGGAUAACUUCGGGAAACCGGAGCUAAUACCGGAUAAUAUUUCGAACCGCAUGGUUCGAUAGUGAAAGGUGGUUUUGCUAUCACUUAUAGAUGGACCCGCGCCGUAUUAGCUAGUUGGUAAGGUAACGGCUUACCAAGGCGACGAUACGUAGCCGACCUGAGAGGGUGAUCGGCCACACUGGAACUGAGACACGGUCCAGACUCCUAACGGGAGGCAGCAGGC